rnacentral:rRNA from 1 species
AUUGAACGCUGGCGGCAGGCUUAACACAUGCAAGUCGAGCGGGGUGAUGGUGCUUGCACUGUCACUUAGCGGCGGACGGGUGAGUAAUGCUUAGGAAUCUGCCUAUUAGUGGGGGACAACAUCUCGAAAGGGAUGCUAAUACCGCAUACGUCCUACGGGAGAAAGCAGGGGAUCACUUGUGACCUUGCGCUAAUAGAUGAGCCUAAGUCGGAUUAGCGAGUUGGUGGGGUAAAGGCGUACCAAGGCGACGAUCUGUAGCGGGUCUGAGAGGAUGAUCAGCCACACUGGGACUGAGACACGGCCCAGACUCCUACGGGAGGCAGCAGUGGGGAAUAUUGGACAAUGGGGGGAACCCUGAUCCAGCCAUGCCGCGUGUGUGAAGAAGGCCUUAUGGUUGUAAAGCACUUUAAGCGAGGAGGAGGCUCUUUUGGUUAAUACCCAAGAUGAGUGGACGUUACUCGCAGAAUAAGCACCGGCUAACUCUGUGCCAGCCGCCGCUGUAA